AUUGAACGCUGGCGGCAUGCCUUACACAUGCAAGUCGAACGGCAGCGGACCUUCGGGUGCCGGCGAGUGGCGAACGGGUGAGUAAUGCAUCGGAACGUACCUUUCAGUGGGGGAUAACGUAGCGAAAGUUACGCUAAUACCGCAUAUUCGGUGAGCAGGAAAGCAGGGGAUCGCAAGACCUUGCGCUGAUUGAGCGGCCGAUGUCAGAUUAGCUAGUUGGUGAGGUAAAGGCUCACCAAGGCGACGAUCUGUAGCGGGUCUGAGAGGAGGAGCCGCCACACUGGGACUGAGACACGGCCCAGACUCCUACGGGAGGCAGCAGUGGGGAAUUUUGGACAAUGGGGGCAACCCUGAUCCAGCCAUGCCGCGUGAGUGAAGAAGGCCUUCGGGUUGUAAAGCUCUUUCGGCCGGGAAGAAAUCGCACAGGCUAAUACCUUGUGUGGAUGACGGUACCGGAAUAAGAAGCACCGGCUAACUACGUGCCAGCCGCCGCCGUAAUAC
rnacentral:rRNA from 1 species